rnacentral:antisense_RNA from 1 species
GAUCCAGCAGUCCCAAUGUGUCAGGUCCCGGGCUGGGAUCCAUGUCAUCCUUACAACAGUUCAGCAAGAAACAUGUUAUUCGAUCCAUUCACUGAGGAGGAAACUGAAAUCACUCGGAGAGGAGGAGUGAUUCAGCCCCAAAUUCCAAAGUGGUAGAAAUGGACUUGGGCUUCCCUAAUGUCUUAGCUAGUCCCCCAUCUACCUGUCCAUUCCUGGGACAGGUGAGACAGGGGUAUAUGUCAGAGCCAUUAUUCAAGAUCAGAUGACCUGUUAAACUGAGACUUCUGCACCAUCUGAACCAUCAGUCACUCAUCUGAACCAUCAGUCACUCAUCUGAACCAUCAGUCACUCUCUGGCCCAGAGAGGUGGUAUUUGCCAAGGACACACAGCAGGUGGCCAAGAUGGAGCCAAGCCAUUUUCCCCACUGCAGGGACCCCUGAUCUCCAUUCCCCUGGACAUCUCAAGGGCACAAAUUCUCUGGACACACGGAGGGAAUAAUGCUGACAUUUUAUAGAAGCUGAGCCACUGGAUAUCCUUCUCACCCAACUCCAUUAGGCUGGGGAGAGUAAGAGGCACGGUGACAAGGUGGCAAAGAUGUCACCGUGCCAUCCAAUCACGAGGUCUCCAGGAAACUGUAUAAGAAGGACACCCCCAGAAACUCCUGGCACUACUGAACAAAUGUAUAAUAUCCCUGGGUAAAACCAAGAGUCCUCUCGCCUUCUCGCCAUUUGGUAACUGUUGUGCGCCUGACACAGCUUUACCCUCUUUGAAUGGGGAGAGCAGUAGUUUCUGUUCCACAGGUUGCUAUAAGGAUGAACUGUGAUCUCAUCAUUCCUCAUAAUAAUGGCUUAUCAAGAUGAAGUAAUGAUUACCAUUGCCAUUUUACUGAUGAUGAAACAAAGGCUAAGAGACUUGAAGAAUUUGCCCACAAUCUUGUAGCAAUAAGGGUACAGAGUCAGCCAUCUGGAACUCAAGCUGGCUCGACCCUCUGCCCCUCCAAACUGGACACACAAGAGACAAAGGGGUGGCAUGCAGAGGCCACGAACCACAGCAGGGGUGUCAUCAUGAUGCAGGGUCCUGGAAGGGUGUCUGAUCCCUGUCUGUUAACAGAAAUUCCCUUCCAAGGAAGCAGAUGCACAUGGAAGAAGAUAUCUUCUAGCUGUUCUCUGGCCUAAUGUGUCUCAAAGUGUGGUCCCAGGACAGGCACCUUUAGCAUUCCAGCAUGUUAGAAAUACAGCCUCCCCAAGGCCACGCCAAGCCUACUGAUUCAGAAUCUCUAAGGCUGGAGUCUAGCAGUCUGUAUUCUGAGAAGUCUUACA